rnacentral:rRNA from 1 species
CCUACGGGAGACAGCAGUGAGGAAUAUUGGUCAAUGGGAGGAAUCCUGAACCAGCCAUGCCGCGUGCAGGACGACGGCUCUACGAGUUGUAAACUGCUUUUGUACCGGGGUAAAAUGCUCUACGAGUAGGGUUUUGAAAGUACGCUACGAAUAAGGAGCGGCUAACUCCGUGCCAGCAGCCGCGGUAAUACGGAGGAUCCGAGCGUUAUCCGGGUUCAUUGGGUUUAAAGGGGGCGUAGGUGGUUUUAUAAGUAAGCGGUGAAAGACCGAUGCUCAACAUCGGGGCUGCAGCUGAUACUGUAGGACUAGAGAGCGGAUGCAGCAGGCGGAAUGUGUAGUGUAGCGGUGAAAUGCAUAGAUAUUACACAGAACACCGAUCGCGAAGGCAGGUGGCUAGGCCGGAUCUGACACUGAUGCACGAAAGCGUGGGGAUCGAACAGGAUUAGAUACCCGAGUAGUC